rnacentral:rRNA from 1 species
GACGAACGCUGGCGGCGUGCUUAACACAUGCCAGUCGAACGGAAAGGCCUGCUUUCCCUUGUGGAUUGCGGGUACUCGAGUGGCGAACGGGUGAGUAACACGUGAGUGAUCUGCCCCCAACUUGGGUAUAAGCCUGGGAAACUGGGUCUAAUUCCCGAUAGGACUGCAGGGUGGUGCCUGUGGUGGAAAACGAUUUUCUAGUGGUUGGGGAUGAGCUCGCGGCCUAUCAGCUUGUUGGUGGGGUAAUGGCCUACCAAGGCGGCGACGGGUAGCCGGCCUGGGAGGGUGGACGGCCACAUUGGGACUGAGAUACGGCCCAGACUCCUACGGGAGGCAGCAGUGGGGAAUAUUGCACAAUGGGCGGAAGCCUGAUACAGCGACGCCGCGUGGGGGAUGACGGCCUUCGGGUUGUAAACUCCUUUCGACCGCGAGGAAGCCACCUGGUUGGAAGGGUGGUGACGGUAGUGGUAGAAGAAGCACCGGCUAACUACGUG